rnacentral:rRNA from 1 species
AGCAUAUGCUUGUCUCAAAGACUAAGCCAUGCAUGUCUAAGUAUAAAUGUUAUACAGUGAAACUGCGAAUGGCUCAUUAAAACAGUUAUAGUUUAUUUGAUAAUCAAACUUACAUGGAUAACCGUGGUAAUUCUAGAGCUAAUACAUGCUGUUAAGCCUGACUUCUAGGAAGGGCUGUAUUUAUUAGAUAACAAACCAAUAUUCCCCGUGUCUAUAGUGACGACUCAUAAUAACUGAUCGAAUCGCAUGGACUUUGUCCGCGAUACAUCAUUCAAGUUUCUGCCCCAUCAGCUUUCGAUGGUAGUGUAUUGGACUACCAUGGCUUUAACGGGUAACGGAGGAUUAGGGUUCGAUUCCGGAGAGGGAGCCUGAGAAACGGCUACCACAUCUAAGGAAGGCAGCAGGCGCGUAGAUUACCCAAUCCUGACUCAGGGAGGUAGUGACAAGAAAUAACGGACCGAAGCCUAUGUUUCGGGAUUGCAAUGAGUAGAAUUUAAACCCCUUUACGAGGAUCAAU